GACGAACGCUGGCGGCGUGCUUAACACAUGCAAGUCGAACGGAAAGGCCCUGCUUUUGUGGGGUGCUCGAGUGGCGAACGGGUGAGUAACACGUGAGUAACCUGCCCUUGACUUUGGGAUAACUUCAGGAAACUGGGGCUAAUACCGGAUAGGAGCUCCUGCUGCAUGGUGGGGGUUGGAAAGUUUCGGCGGUUGGGGAUGGACUCGCGGCUUAUCAGCUUGUUGGGGGGGUAGUGGCUUACCAAGGCUUUGACGGGUAGCCGGCCUGAGAGGGUGACCGGCCACAUUGGGACUGAGAUACGGCCCAGACUCCUACGGGAGGCAGCAGUGGGGAAUAUUGCACAAUGGGCGGAAGCCUGAUGCAGCAACGCCGCGUGCGGGAUGCCGGCCUUCGGGUUGUAAACCGCUUUCGCCUGUGACGAAGCGUGAGUGACGGUAAUGGGUAAAGAAGCACCGGCUAACUACGUG
rnacentral:rRNA from 1 species